AGCAGGGGGGAAUAUUGGACAAUGGGGGGAACCCUGAUCCAGCCAUGCCGCGUGUGUGAAGAAGGCCUUAUGGUUGUAAAGCACUUUAAGCGAGGAGGAGGCUCUUUUGGUUAAUACCCAAGAUGAGUGGACGUUACUCGCAGAAUAAGCACCGGCUAACUCUGUGCCAGCAGCCGCGGUAAUACAGAGGGUGCAAGCGUUAAUCGGAUUUACUGGGCGUAAAGCGCGCGUAGGCGGCCAAUUAAGUCAAAUGUGAAAUCCCCGAGCUUAACUUGGGAAUUGCAUUCGAUACUGGUUGGCUAGAGUGUGGGAGAGGAUGGUAGAAUUCCAGGUGUAGCGGUGAAAUGCGUAGAGAUCUGGAGGAAUACCGAUGGCGAAGGCAGCCAUCUGGCCUAACACUGACGCUGAGGUGCGAAAGCAUGGGGAGCAAACAGGAUUAGAUACCCUGGUAGUCCAUGCCGUAAACGAUGUCUACUAGCCGUUGGGGCCUUUGAGGCUUUAGUGGCGCAGCUAACGCGAUAAGUAGACC
rnacentral:rRNA from 1 species